GACGAACGCUGGCGGCGUGCUUAACACAUGCAAGUCGAACGGAAAGGCCUGCUUUCCCUUGUGGAUUGCGGGUACUCGAGUGGCGAACGGGUGAGUAACACGUGAGUGAUCUGCCCCCAACUUGGGUAUAAGCCUGGGAAACUGGGUCUAAUUCCCGAUAGGACUGCAGGGUGGUGCCUGUGGUGGAAAACGAUUUUCUAGAGGUUGGGGAUGAGCUCGCGGCCUAUCAGCUUGUUGGUGGGGUAAUGGCCUACCAAGGCGGCGACGGGUAGCCGGCCUGGGAGGGUGGACGGCCCCAUUGGGACUGAGAUACGGCCCAGACUCCUACGGGAGGCAGCAGUGGGGAAUAUUGCACAAUGGGCGGAAGCCUGAUGCAGCGACGCCGCGUGGGGGAUGACGGCCUUCGGGUUGUAAACUCCUUUCGACCGCGAGGAAGCCACCUGGUUGGAAGGGUGGUGACGGUAGUGGUGGAAGAAGCACCGGCUAACUACGUG
rnacentral:rRNA from 1 species